rnacentral:rRNA from 1 species
CGCGGCCUAUCAGCUUGUUGGUGGGGUAAUGGCCUACCAAGGCGACGACGGGUAGCCGACCUGAGAGGGUGAUCGGCCACACUGGGACUGAGACACGGCCCAGACUCCUACGGGAGGCAGCAGUGGGGAAUAUUGCACAAUGGGCGCAAGCCUGAUGCAGCGACGCCGCGUGAGGGAUGACGGCCUUCGGGUUGUAAACCUCUUUCACCAGGGACGAAGCUUUUGUGACGGUACCUGGAGAAGAAGCACCGGCCAACUACGUGCCAGCAGCCGCGGUAAUACGUAGGGUGCGAGCGUUGUCCGGAAUUACUGGGCGUAAAGAGCUCGUAGGCGGUUUGUCGCGUCGUCUGUGAAAUUCUGCAGCUUAACUGCAGGCGUGCAGGCGAUACGGGCAGACUUGAGUACUACAGGGGAGACUGGAAUUCCUGGUGUAGCGGUGAAAUGCGCAGAUAUCAGGAGGAACACCGGUGGCGAAGGCGGGUCUCUGGGUAGUAACUGACGCUGAGGAGCGAAAGCGUGGGUAGCGAACAGGAUUAGAUACCCUGGUAGUCCACGCCGUAAACGGUGGGUACUAGGUGUGGGGCUCAUUUCACGAGUUCCGUGCCGUAGCUAACGCAUUAAGUACCCCGCCUGGGGAGUACGG